UUUACUUUUUCGCUGUUGUUUAGACGCCUUAUAUGUGUUGACAUAUGGCGGGUCUGGGCACGCUACCGGGAGGGCCUCUGCCGGUCCCGGGGCGUGACAGAUUAGUUUGGUAUCAGAGCCUAGGGUUGAGUCUUAGUGGAUCUAGCAAACCUUAGGCCGGGUGGACUAUAGGAAAUAGGCUCGUGAGAGACGAGGUCUAAUUGAAUUGUUAGCGAAAGUAUUUCGAUUGGGUUUGAUGAUAACUCUAAAAAAGUUAGAGUUUGAUCGGAGUGUAUGGCUUCUAACUUCGCGGAGGGUUACGUUGGCGGCCGACAACGUAACAUCGGGAGUUAGUAGUGAAGGACACUUCCUUAU
rnacentral:lncRNA from 1 species